UGUAACAGAUGCAAACUGUAACACAAGGGCCAUUAACCCUUUCUCUGCCGGGCACACUCAGUCCCCACGCCCCACACCUAUUGUCUCCUGUGCUAGAAGCUUUGCAGAAAACCUGGAAAGUAUUUGCCAAGUCCUAAUUGCUGAAUAUAAUGAAUUGGAACUAGACACGAAAAUAGAGCAGGACCUCUCCCCUUGAUGAGUUUUUAUUCCAGCCAUAUAAUUCUCAAUAAAACUUUUCCUGGGCUGGAUAGCAAAGGACACCUUUGGUUACCUGAAUGGACAGGUACAGGGGAAAUUAUUUGGGGGAGGGAAAAAGGAGAGAAAAGCAAGGAGAGAGAGUGUGAGUGUAAGAGAAAGCGAAGAAGCCACUCUUGAGAAAAGCUUGCCAUAAAGGAGCUAAACCCACCUGAAAUUCCUACCCACGGACACCCCUUCUCACUUCAGACUCACAUCCCCACUCAAAAUGAGAAAAUUAGAAAAGGAGGAUGGAGGACGAGCACACCAAAAAGGGAUAAAAAGAGAGAAAAGGGGAGGAAAAAAAACCUACCUGCGAAGUCUUGUUUGUAGUUUUGGCCAGAAAUGGUGAGAAGAAAAAGCAUGAAGAAGCCGCGAAGUGUGGGGGAGAAAAAGGUGGAAGCGAAGAAACAGCUCCCGGAGCAAACUGUACAAAAACCUCGCCAAGAGUGUCGGGAGGCAGGACCGUUAUUCCUGCAGAGCAGGAGAGAGACGAGAGACCCUGAAACACGCGCCACCUAUCUUUGUGGGGAGGGAUAAUUGAAGCGCCCUGAGCGUGAGCAUCAUGUGAAAACGUGAUCGCCAAGUUUCUCUCUGGGAAAGGAUCUGGGAUAGAUUAUACCUUGAAGUCUCCGCAAACGCUUUAGUGGAAGA
rnacentral:antisense_RNA from 1 species